CAGAACUGGCAUCCUAAGCAGUGUUUGUCGCCUAUCGCUCAAGUACCGAACGCUAUUUCAGGAAGUUUCCUGAAAAUUUAAUUACUUCGCGCUUCGAUACCCAUAAAUAUUUCCCUUUCCAUCAAUGGCAUUAUAUCUAAUGGAUUCUUCAAAAAAAUAUCUGACAGUAGAUACCAUCAAUCAAAAUCUGAAACAUGUAGACUUUCCUUGGAAAUGUCCUGUUGUGUCUCGGGUAAAAGAAAUCGAAGAGGAAAUUAAGAAGGGGAAAAAAUUUCCUUUUAAAGAAGUCUUCCACCUACUCUCUGGGGAUCUUCAAGGAAUGGGACAGAAACCCAUAACAUUUUUUCAACAGGU